rnacentral:rRNA from 1 species
UACGGAGGGUGCAAGCGUUAUCCGGAUUCACUGGGUUUAAAGGGUGCGUAGGUGGGCAGGUAAGUCAGUGGGGAAAUCUCCGGGCUUAACCCGGAAACUGCCAUUGAUACUAUCUGUCUUGAAUACCGUGGAGGUGAGCGGAAUAUGUCAUGUAGCGGUGAAAUGCUUAGAUAUGACAUAGAACACCAAUUGCGAAGGCAGCUCACUACACGAAUAUUGACACUGAGGCACGCAAGCGUGAGGAUCAAACAGG